rnacentral:rRNA from 1 species
AACGAACGCUGGCGGCGUGCUUAAUACAUGCAAGUCGAACGUGAAAGUCCUUCGGGAUGAGUAAAGUGGCGCACGGGUGAGUAAUACAUAGGAACGUACCUUUAGGUGGGGGAUAACUACGGGAAACCGUGGCUAAUACCGCAUAAUCUCGAGAGAGCAAACGAUGGCCUCUAUUUAUAAGCUAUCGCCUUUAGAGCGGCCUAUGCCCCAUUAGCUUGUUGGUAGGGUAAUGGCCUACCAAGGCAACGAUGGGUAGCUGGUCUGAGAGGACGGCCAGCCACACUGGAACUGAGACACGGUCCAGACUCCUACGGGAGGCAGCAGUAGGGAAUAUUGCACAAUGGGCGCAAGCCUGAUGCAGCGACGCCGCGUGAGUGAAGAAGGUCUUCGGAUUGUAAACCUCUUUCAGUAGGGACGAAGCGAAAGUGACGGUACCUAAAGAAGAAGCACCGGCUAACUACGUGCCAGCCGCCGCGGUAA